AUGUUGCUAGUUACUCCGCGUCCGGAACGUGGAGGUCGAGGGACUGAGCUGGGCGAGUUUUGUGGCACUCCUUUGCUCUUCAGUAAGUCCCAGGGGCUAGCGACUCGCCCUAGAGGCGAUAGAUAUGAAGGCAGCUAUUUUUGCUAUGAUAAUCCUGCUGCCCUUCAGACUCAAGUUAAACGAGAUAUGCAAGUGAAUACCACGAAAUUCAUGCUGCUGUAUGCCUGGUAUUCUUGGCCCAAUGUAGUUUUGUGUUUCUUUGGUGGCUUUUUGAUAGACCGAGUAUUUGGAAUACGAUGGGGCACAAUCAUUUUUAGCUGCUUUGUUUGCAUUGGACAGGUUGUUUUUGCCCUGGGUGGAAUAUUUAAUGCUUUUUGGCUGAUG
rnacentral:lncRNA from 1 species